rnacentral:rRNA from 1 species
GCAAGGAAUAGUAGGCAAUGGGCGCAAGCCUGACCUCGCGACGCCGCGUGAGGGAUGAAGGCCUUCGGGUUGUAAACCUCUUUUUUCAGGGAUGAAUAAUGACAGUACCUGGAGAAUAAGUCACGGCUAACUACGUGCCAGCAGCCGCGGUAAAACGUAGGUGGCAAACGUUAUCCGGAUUUACUGGGCGUAAAGAGUGCGUAGGUGGUUAUUUAAGUCAGAUGUAAAAUCUCCUGGCUCAACUGGGAGGGACCAUCUGAUACUGGAUAGCUGGAGUACAGCAGAGGAAAGUGGAAUUCCCGGUGUAGUGGUGGAAUGCGUAGAUAUCGGGAGGAACACCAGUGGCGAAAGCGGCUUUCUGGGCUGUUACUGACACUGUUGCACAAAAGCGUGGGGAGCAAACAGGAUUAGAAACCCUUGUAGUCC